CUGGCGACCAUAGCAAGAGUGAACCACCUGAUCCCUUCCCGAACUCAGAAGUGAAACCUCUUAGCGCUGAUU
rnacentral:rRNA from 1 species